CUACGGGGGGCUGCAGUGAGGAAUUUUGCGCAAUGGGGGGAACCCUGACGCAGCAACGCCGUGUGAGUGAAGAAGGCCUUUGGGUCGUAAAGCUCUGUCAACUGGGAAGAAGUUACUGUGCUUUAAUAGAGUGCAGUAUUGACGGUACCAGUGGAGGAAGCGUCGGCCAACUCCGUGCCAGCAGCCGCGGUAACACGGGGGACGCAAGCGUUAUUCGGAAUUAUUGGGCGUAAAGGGCGCGUAGGCGGUCUUGUCGGUCAGGUGUGAAAGCCCGGGGCUCAACCCCGGACGUGCACUUGAAACAGCAAGACUUGAGUACGGGAGAGGAAAGCGGAAUUCCUGGUGUAGAGGUGAAAUUCGUAGAUAUCAGGAGGAACACCGAUGGCGAAGGCAGCUUUCUGGACCGAAACUGAUGCUGAGGCGCGAAGGCGUGGGUAGCGAACGGGAUUAGAUACCCCGGUAGUC
rnacentral:rRNA from 1 species